rnacentral:rRNA from 1 species
AUUGAACGCUGGCGGCAUGCCUUACACAUGCAAGUCGAACGGCAGCAUGGGUGCUUGCACCUGAUGGCGAGUGGCGAACGGGUGAGUAAUACAUCGGAACGUACCCGGAAGUGGGGGAUAACGUAGCGAAAGUUACGCUAAUACCGCAUAUUCUGUGAGCAGGAAAGCGGGGGAUCGCAAGACCUCGCGCUUCCGGAGCGGCCGAUGUCGGAUUAGCUAGUUGGCGGGGUAAAGGCCCACCAAGGCAACGAUCCGUAGCGGGUCUGAGAGGACGAUCCGCCACACUGGGACUGAGACACGGCCCAGACUCCUACGGGAGGCAGCAGUGGGGAAUUUUGGACAAUGGGGGCAACCCUGAUCCAGCCAUGCCGCGUGAGUGAAGAAGGCCUUCGGGUUGUAAAGCUCUUUCGGCUGGGAAGAAAUCGCAUCUCCUAAUACGGGGUGUGGAUGACGGUACCAGCAUAAGAAGCACCGGCUAACUACGUGCCAGCCGCCGCCGUAACAC